UCUCCUUCACUUUCCGGCCAGAUCUGGGUAGAAAUAAUUUGAAACAAAAACCAUUAAAAUUCCCUUUGUUUUUCAAUCUUUUCUUUAUGUAAAAAAAACUCAAAGAAUGCAAUUCUUUUCUUAUCAUUUCCAUACAAAAAUUAACUCAAAGAAUGGAGCAUAAAAAUAAUACAGCCCCAUCGCAGCGAGGAUCAUCGACCCUGCACCUCCAUCGCGACCGUCCAUUGUCGGCGACGACAUCAAUUCUACACUCCACCGCGACUGUCCAUCACCACGAUCGAAAUCGGGUUCUAACAUUUAAUUUAAAUUUGUUUACAGUUUUGGAGGUGUAAUCAAAUCGGUUCAGGUCCAUAACUACAGUGUUUUCAAAUUUUGCUACAAAAAAAUGUAUUGUUAAUGAUUUCUUUAGUGUGGUUUCAUUUAAUUUAAUUUUUCUUCUUUAUUAUGAUUCAUUGCCGAUGCUGCCGUUGGAGUUGUUUGAUUGAUAUGGAGAACAGACAAUUCGGUAAAUGGAAUUCCAGAAGAAAGAUGUCAGAUUGGGGAAUCAAAAUCGAGCAAGAAAUUGAAGUUUAAAAAUUGUGAUGCUCAUAGGAAACAUUGUGUGUACUACAAAAGUAUUCCCUUUAGCUUGAAGAUAAAGCAUGAAGAUGUGGUUUUAUCUAUAAAAAGGUUGAAACUUUGACAAAUCAGCAGCAAGUUAUUUGAAGAAGGCAUGUGUUGCUAAAGGUUGUUUCAAGCAGCUCAAAACCGUCUUGUAUGAGCUUGAAGAAUGAUUGGCAUUUGAGUGGCCAUAGUCAAUAGUUCACUGAUCUACAAGAUGAAGUGAUUAAGCAAGCGAAGAUUGUUGCAAUGACUUGCACUUAGUAGCUUUGAAAAGAAAAGAUUUCUUACCAAUGGGAUUUAAAUAUGCUAAUCCGUUAAUGCAAACGAGUUCCCAUAUGGAAAUAUAAUUCAUUAUAUGUCCUGUAUUAUAUGAUAUUUAUAUAAAAGCCUUCUUGUGUUUAUGUCAAA